UACCUGGCUUGAUCCUGCCAGUAGUAGUCAUAUUGCUUGUCUCAAAGAUUAAGCACAUGCAUGUGUACAGUAUGAACAAAUUCAGCACUUGUUGAAACUGCGAAUGAGCUACAUUAAAUCAGUCUAUAGUUUUGUUUUGAAUGUAUUCGGUUGCUACUCGGAUAUAACCGUUUCCGAGUGAAUUCUAGAGCAUAAUACGACUGCAACAAACCCGACUUCUGGAAGGAUGCAUUUUAUUAGAUCAAAGGUCGACGC
rnacentral:ncRNA from 2 species